CAAAAGGUAAAUUUGUUGUGACUGCAUGCACAUAAUCUCAAAACGAUGAACGGGAUAAGUGGUGGCAUGAAAAAUAUUAUCAGCAGCAAUAAGAACAAAAAUGAGUAAUGCACAAGAUAAGGGUUUCUGUUGGGUGAUUAUAGCCACCGAUUUUAGUUAAAAAAGGCAUUUCCCAACCAAGGGUUAAUGGGAAUAAUGACAUCUGACAUGGGUUAAUUUGUAGCAGAUACACAGAAGAAGACAAACGUUAGAAAACAAAUGAACGAAUACGAUCAUGACAAGAACAAGGAGAAUAGAGAUACAAAGCAAUAGAGAGGGAGAUCGAAAAAAAGAUAAAAGAUACAUUUUGAGAGUCAGAUACAAUAAUUGUUUUGUUUUACUUUGCAUAUGAUGACGUGAGAUUGGGAGUGGAUCACGGCGUGUGAGAGUGUGAGUAGCUUGAUGCCCAGAUUGUCUGUAGGUAUGUGUCCAAGAAAAUUAACUUAAAUUUAUUACUUUUGUUUUUUCAUUUGUAUGAAUGUUUUUUGGCUCCAUUUACUGAUGGCCCUGAAAAAAGUUUUCAAGCAGAAAUCAUCCAUAUCUUAUUAGAAACUAGAGCACAAAUAUACAAUAGCAACAGAUAGAUAGUCGUGGUGUUUGUUUGAAAAGAAAAACACCGGUCUUCUAUUUUUUGGAAAACGCAAAACCCCACCCUCCCCUGCAAAUGAGGGCAGAACAAAGCUAUUCCACGCACACAAUUUUCUCCACGAUUGAUUGAAUUAAAAUUUAUGGAAUUAAACGCUCGCGUACCUAAGAGAUUUGUUCGAGUUGAAGUUACGGCCGCCGACGACCAUGAAACGAAUUCCGAGUUCGUCUCUGAUUCACGUUAAUUUGGAAUUUAAAAA